rnacentral:rRNA from 1 species
UACGAAGGGGGGCUAGCGUUGCUCGGAAUGACUGGGCGUAAAGGGCGCGUAGGCGGCGAUCAAGGUCAGAUGUGAAAUUCCUGGGCUUAACCUGGGGGGCUGCAUUUGAUACGUGGUGGCUUGAGUGCGGAAGAGGGUCGUGGAAUUCCCAGUGUAGAGGUGAAAUUCGUAGAUAUUGGGAAGAACACCGGUGGCGAAGGCGGCGACCUGGUCCGUGACUGACGCUGAGGCGCGAAAGCGUGGGGAGCAAACAGG